rnacentral:rRNA from 1 species
UACGUAGUGGGCUAGCGUUGUCCGGAUUUAUUGGGCGUAAAGAGCGUGUAGGCGGCCAGGUAGGUCUGGUGUGAAAACUCGAGGCUUAACCUCGAGAUGUCAUCGGAAACCAUCUGGCUAGAGUCCGGAAGAGGAGAGUGGAAUUCCUGGUGUAGCGGUGAAAUGCGCAGAUAUCAGGAAGAACACCAAUGGCGAAAGCAGCUCUCUGGGACGGUACUGACGCUGAGACGCGAAAGCGUGGGGAGCGAACAGG